rnacentral:lncRNA from 1 species
UUAAACAUAACUAAAAUCCCUUACAAUACAAUACAUUACUGAAAAGAACUACUCAAUAGCUUACCUAUUCAGAACGAAUCAAAGAACCCCCAAAAGCACAAUAAGACAACACAAAUGGCAAUCGAAAUUGAAGAGGGAAGCAAUAGAAAAUUUUUUAGAGAAAAGAAAAGAAGAGAAAAAUGUCAGAAAAAGAAAGAUUUGGGAAAGAAAGAAAAAAAAGUCUGAAUGUGGAGAAGGAUUUUGGUGAAAAGAAAAAUAAAAAAUAAAAAAUAAAAUUCUAAAAAAAACAAUAAACCACUAAAUUCCCCAACUCCCCACAAACCCACUAACCAACAUUAUCCCACAUAAUCCUACCACUAACCAUAUCCAACUACCUCAAAAUUUCAACUCCACCGAAUGUUUACCACACAACCG